UGUUCCCAUGAUGCAGAGAUUGGGACCCCCCCCACUGUCCCCUGGGUGUCCCCCUGGGUGUCCCCUGGGUGUCCCUUGGGUGUCCCCACGUUCAUGGGCUUGGGAUCCCCCCCCACUGUCCCCUGGGUGUCCCCAUGUCAUGGACUUGGGACCCCCAGUGUCCCUGGGUGCCCCUUCGAGUGUCCCCAUGUCACCCAGUGUUCCUGUGAUGCAGAGAUUGGGACCCCCCCCCACUGUCCCCUGGGUGUCCCCAUGGUGUCCCCACAGAAUCACAGAAUGGUUGGGUUGGAAGGGACCUCAAGGAUGAUGAAUCUCCAACCCCCUGCUGCAUGCAGGGCCACCAACCUCCCCAUUUCCUGCCAGCCCAGGCUGCCCAGGGCCCCAUCCAACCUGGCCUCCAACACCUCCAAGGAUGGACGGGGCACCAACAGCCUCUCUGUGCAGCUGUUCCAGCACCUCACCGCUCUCACAGCAAACAAUUUCUCCCUGACAUCCAACCUCAAUCAACUCCAAACCGUUUCCCCUCAUCCUGCAGUGAUCAACCCUUUCCAAGAGUCGAUUCCCCUCCUGUUUUCAGGCUCCCUUGAGGUGCUGAAGGCUGCAAUGAUUCACCCCGCAGUUUUCUCUUCUCCAUGCUGAACAAGCCCAGCUCCCUCAGCCUGUCCUCACAGUGGAGGUGCUGCAGCCCCCCUGCUCAUCUUGGUGGCUCCUCUGGACCCUCCCCAACAGCUCCCUGUUGGAAACCCCACCUUCAUGCCCUCCACGUAGACGGGGUUGAGACGUUCCCCCCCCAGGCGGACGGGGACCAGCAGGAUGACGGCUGCCUCAGCGUCCCCUUCCAGCAGCGCAGCCACGUCCUCUUUGUACACUGCCAAAAUUGGGGGUGGGGGGGGUUCAGCUGGGACCCCCCCCACACACAUACACACUCACCCAGGACACAAAGCGUUGGGACUUGGGGAGGAGGGGGGGCAUACAAAGCUGGGACCCCCACCGGUGCAAUCCUGCGCCACGUACACCGCCAUCCCGGACACCUCGGGGCAGCUCUCCACCGCCUUCCUGCAUCCCAAAUCUUUCAGGGUGGGGUCCCAGACCCAUCAUUUGGGGUCAGAGCCCCCCCCCCCNNNNNNNNNNNNNNNNNNNNNNNNNNNGCCAUCCUUUUGGGGUCUGACCUGAGGAUGUGUGCCACGAUGGAGGGGCCGUACCAAUCCCCUGCACGCUUCCCAGCGCCGCGGCCGAGCUCCACCAGGCGGUGGAUCCCAAAGGGGGAGUUGGGGUGGUCCCCAAAAAGGGCCACCAGGGCUCGGUGACAUCGCUCUGUAUCCUGGGGGCGAGGGGGGGGCGGACCCCCCGGGGCGUCAGCCCACGUCCAGUCUAUAAAA
rnacentral:lncRNA from 1 species